AAGAUGUCUGCAUUGAAUAACGCUGCAUUCAUGUAAUGACUACAUAAUAGGAAGAAAAAGUAAGCGCUUUUCAUUCGGCGUUUAUGUGUUAUUCGCUGGCGGCUGCCAUAGUUCCUCAUUUUCGAGUUCACGUUGAUCCCACCAUAUCAGAGCCGUUGCCGUUGGUGUCGUUGCCAUGGAAACGCGUCCCCGUGCGGCAAAGUGACCUUUCUUUAAUGGAGGCUCCAGAAAACACGAAAAGGCACAGCAUGAGUAUAAAAAUACAUAUAAACCGUGGGAAUAACCUGCAAGCAACAAAAGGAGACAGCUUUCAGAGUUUGGUGCGGGUUGAGUUUGAUGGAACAUUGCUGGGAGAGUCAGAUGAGAAGCAGGGUAACCCUAUGCAGGACUGUGUUGACUACAAAUUUACCUGCAUCUUCCGCUGUCCAAACGACGCUCAGGCUCUCAGUGACAUUGCCCAAAAACCGAUCGUAUUGACAGUGAUAGAGAUCCUGGCUGAGGGGAAGAAUGAUGAACCAAGACAAGUGCCUCUGGGCCAGGCUGUUGUUGACCUCCUACCACUGUUACAAGGUCAGUGCAGUUUCUCAUCCACAGUCUCUGUCAAUUCGGUGCCCAACCCCCGGGCCAAAUCCGCCCAGGACACCGGCCUCAAGUUCCCCAACAAAGAUAGGAGUGCAACCAGAAUGAAGCAAGGGGCCAGCCAAGCAGUUUUUAAAUGGAAAAUGAAGCUGCCUACCCUCGAUGUGAGUGUCAGUGUGUUGGAUCCAAUACUGUCUGAGGCUCAGCUCUCAGCCUCUAAUCUACUAAAGGUAACUUUGGAGACAGCCUACUCUGUCCCAGACUCAUGGAUGCUGCCAUCUGGCCCUGCUCCCACUACCUUCACAUACACUGCUGCCCUAGAGAUCCCUCUUACUGCAGACCAAGACCAAGUGCUAGUGUUCCCUGAAGGGCAGCUGAAGGCAGGGGGGCAGAGAGAAGAAAAGGAACGUCAGAAGAAGAGGCCCCAUAGGGACACAAUAGCUCCAGAGAACCACUUCCUGCCUGGAGUCUUUUUCAAGCCAGAGGAAACUGAUCAGGAGGAUGGCGAGCUGACUGCUUUAGAGGACCGGGCAUUUCGUGAUGAGGCAGAGACCACAAAGAACAGAGUGAGCUGGGACACAGAGAUGUACUGCUUUCUGGAUGCAGGGGGAACUACAAGGCUGAAGCAAAGGAUAACUAAGAGCAGAUUUUGGCCAGUGGAGAUCAUGAGGUCAUUGGCGCCAUUAUCAAAGUUAGGUGCUGAGGACUCAGAAAUCCCCUUCCAUGGUUUGGCAUUUGUAGACUUUGGGCAGCUGCUGUAUCCUGGAGUCCAGCGCAUCCGAGGAGCGUACAGCGUUCAGCCUUUCUCUGACGAAGAUUUGCUGAAUAAGGCCAAGCGAAGCAUCAGUGUGUUAAAGGAAAAAGCUAAGGAAGCUGCCAGCCAGGCCAAAGAUAUUGCCAGCUCUAACAAAGCAGGAAAGAACAUGAAUGGAAGCAACAAGGGACCCACAGAUUCCAAUGAGCAAGGCAAAAAGAUGUAUGUGGAGGCCAGAACUUACAUUAUCAUUGAGAUAGCCUUGGAGAAACCGCUGGUACCAAAAACAUCACCAGAAGAGCUAGCCCAAAGGGUGACGGCAUUGAUCCCUCCCAAACCUAAACGUCCAGCUGGUCCUAGCAGAGCAGAAAGAGCUGUGCUGGACUUCCACAGGCAGGUAGCAAACACAGUGUCCCGUGUUUCAGAGCAGUGUGAGGAACUAUUUGGAACAAGUCAUGAAAUGCCCCAAGACGACAGCUUGGAGAAAAUGAAGAUUCAGUUGAUGGGAGCGCUCAAUGACUCUGGGAGAUACUUUGUCUUCAAGGAACAAAUGAAGCAUGCAGUGGUGAGGAUCGUACGUGACAAGAUGAGGCGGACAGAGCCGUUCACGGAUGAUCAACAGCUGAAGGAAUUUGCCAGCAAACUCUAUGUCUACCUGGUUGAUGAGAUGCACGUUGCUUUGAGCAAGAUUUAUUCUCCAGAUGCUGUUGAAGACUACCCAGAUAACACCCAGUUACACUGUUCUCAGCUCUCACAUUUUGCCAGAGAGGCACAGCUUACUGGGAAUUACGAGCAGGCUGCUUAUUACUGGAAAGAGCUAGUGGUCAAGCACCCAAAUGAGCCCACCUACAUGUUUGAGUGGGGAGGCCUGUACAUGCUGACCGGAGACUACCUGAAGGCAAAAGAGUGUUAUCAUGAUGCUGUGUCUAUCGACCAAGUGCACCAACCCAGCCUGAUGAUGUGUGGGGUAUUGGCAGUGAUGUUUGAGCAUUACGGUGAGGCCCAGACUUUGCUUGAGCGAGCCACCAGCCUAGACCCUCUCAGCGUGGUGGCCUGGACGCUGCUGGGUUUGUUCCAUGUGGGUCAGAACGACUCCAUCCAGGCUGAGAGGGCUUUUAUGGAGGCCACAAAGCUGUUGAAUGCAGAAGAGGCAAAGAAGCAAGAACCGAGCGAGGAGAAGGGGGAGAAAGACAAGGGGAAGAAACACGAAGAGGAAGAGAACAAGCAGGAGGAAGAUGAAACAACCAACUCUCCCAGAGUUAUGCAAGAACUUGUUGACCAGGAUUCAGAGAUGCACAAAGAAGAGCCUCCAGCACCGAGUGUCAGCUUGAAAUCAGCUCCUGCUACUAUUUACACACAGACCAUCCAAUUCCUGCUGCAGAACAAUGCACUGCAGAUGGCAGAAGUCGCUCUAUCCCAGGAGCUCCUAUGUUCAGAUGGCGGCCGCAGUGCUUUCUACUUCCUUCAUCUGGCCCAGUUGCAGCUGCUCAAAGCAGACUACUGCAGUGCUGCUGCCAGCCUCAAAGAGGCACUGUCCAGCUUAGAUCAGGAUCCUGAUGCAUGGGCUUGGAAUGGUCACUGUCACUAUCUACGAGGGGAGUUCCAUGAGGCUGAGGAGAGCUACGAGUGGAGCUUCAAAUUCCAGCAGAAGCCAUCAGACUCUCAUAUUGUCUUACUCCGCCUGGGAUCCAGCUACUUUAUGCAGGAGAAGUUUCAGGAAGCCAAAGUUGUGUACCUGCAGGCCUGUGAACAGUCUCCAUCCUGCCUGACCUGGCUAGGCCUGGGCAGUGCAUGUUACCGGUGGGCAUUUCUGUGUCUGUUUAGUUGGAGGAGUUUUGUACAGCUGAGGAAGCUUUGACUGAGGCCAACCAUUUGGACAACCAGAAUGCAGAGGUCUGGGCUUACCUGUCUCUCAUUUGCCUCAAGUACACCAGCUUUUUCAGAGAAGGACUACAAUGAAUUUAAAAAAAAUGCCAAGGUAAGAUCAGUGGUCAAAGUUAAAAUACAACUCUCAUAGAUCGCCCUUUUGAUCAUAAACUCUCACACAUCUCAAAAUUGUAGAAUCUUUUCAUCCACUUUCUUUAGCUUAUGUAUCUCAAAAACUACUCGAAAUUAAACCCUCAGCAAGCCCGGCCAAAGUUUUUGACUCCAUUUGGCCCUCUGUGGGCCCUCUGUGGUCACUUUGAUAAAUUGUUCUUUGUUGUCAGGCUGUGUCCUAGAGUUCUUUAAACAGGAGGUUAUCCAACCAGGUUUGAAAAAGCCAGAUCUGGACCUUACACGAACCACCAGCUGUAGACCUGUUUCAAAACUUCCUAAAUUGCUAAAGUAUUAUGAAAAGAAAAAAGAAAAGGUUGUUGGGACAGGAAGGUGUUGGAGAAGCACUACACUCUUGAUUACGUUCAGUCUGGUUUUAGGACUCCACAGCUCUCCUUAAAGUUUCAGUCUUUGGAUGGCUGCAGAUAAGGGUGGUUGCUCAGCCAGCCCUUGGUUUGCCUGACCUUAUCUCAGCCUUUGAAAUGUCAAAUCGCCAUCAAAUCUUAGUCCAGUGGUUCUUAGCCUUGUUGGAGGUACCGAACCCCACCAGUUUCAUAUGCGCAUUCACUGAACCCCUCUUUAGUGAAAAAUAAAAUAUGAUUUUUUUCAAAUUCAA